rnacentral:rRNA from 1 species
AUUGAACGCUGGCGGCAGGCCUAACACAUGCAAGUCGAGCGAGCGGCGGACGGGUGAGUAAUGUCUGGGAACCUGCCUGAUGGAGGGGGAUAACUCCUGGAAACGGUAGCUAAUACCGCAUACCAUCAGCUUUGCCCAGAUGGGAUUAGCUAGUAGGUGGGGUAACGGCUCACCUAGGCGACGAUCCCUAGCUGGUCUGAGAGGAUGACCAGCCACACUGUAACUGAGACACGGUACAGACUCCGACGGGAGGCAGAAGUGGGGAAUAGUGCACAAUGGGAGCAAGCCUGAUGCAGCCAUGCCGCGUGUGUGAAGAAGGCCUUCGGGUUGUAAAGCACUUUCAGCGGGGAGGCGUUACCCGCAGAAGAAGCACCGGCGAACUCCGUGCCAGCAGCCGCGGUAAUUC